rnacentral:rRNA from 1 species
UACGGAGGAUCCGAGCGUUAUCCGGAUUCACUGGGUUUAAAGGGUGCGUAGGUGGGCAGGUAAGUCAGUGGUGAAAUCUCUGGGCUUAACCCGGAAACUGCCGUUGAUACUAUCUGUCUUGAAUAUAGUGGAGGUGAGCGGAAUAUGUCAUGUAGCGGUGAAAUGCUUAGAUAUGACAUAGAACAUCGAUUGCGAAGGCAGCUCGCUACACUAUGAUUGACACUGAGGCACGAAAGCGUGGGGAUCAAACAGG